rnacentral:rRNA from 1 species
UGGGGAAUUUUGCGCAAUGGGGGAAACCCUGACGCAGCAACGCCGCGUGAGUGAUGAAGGCCUUCGGGUCGUAAAGCUCUGUCAGAGGGGAAGAAAUGCAGGGGUGCUAAUAUCAUCUUUGCUUGACGGUACCCUCAAAGGAAGCACCGGCUAACUCCGUGCCAGCAGCCGCGGUAAUACUGAGGGUGCGAGCGUUGUUCGGAAUUAUUGGGCGUAAAGCGCGUGUAGGCGGUUUGGUAAGUCUGAUGUGAAAGCCCCGGGCUCAACCUGGGAAGUGCAUUGGAAACUGGCAGAGUUGAAUACGGGAGAGGGUAGUGGAAUUCCUAGUGUAGGAGUGAAAUCCGUAGAUAUUAGGAGGAACACCGGUGGCGAAGGCGGCUACCUGGACCGAUAUUGACGCUGAGACGCGAAAGCGUGGGGAGCAAACAG